AGUGAACGCUGGCGGCGUGCUUAACACAUGCAAGUCGAACGAGAACGGAUUAUAGCUUGCUAUAAUUGUCAGCUAAGUGGCGCACGGGUGAGUAAUGUAUAGAUAACCUGCCCUCUAGAAAGGAAUAACAGUUGGAAACGACUGCUAAUGCCCUAUAUGCCUUUAAUACAUAAGUAUGCAAGGGAAACGCUUUAGUGCUAGAGGAUGGGUCUGUAUGGUAUCAGUUAGUUGGUGAGGUAAUGGCUCACCAAGACUAUGACGCCUAACUGGUUUGAGAGGAUGAUCAGUCACACUGGAACUGAGACACGGUCCAGACUUCUACGGGAGGCAGCAGUGGGGAAUAUUGCACAAUGGACGAAAGUCUGAUGCAGCAACGCCGCGUGGAGGAUGACACAUUUCGGUGCGUAAACUCCUUUUAUAUAGGAAGAUAAUGACGGUACUAUAUGAAUAAGCACCGGCUAACUCCGUGCCAGCCGCCGCAGUAACAC
rnacentral:rRNA from 1 species